rnacentral:rRNA from 1 species
GUAGUCUCGCACAGAUGCAUAUCAAUAAGCGGAGGAAAAGAAACUAACAAGGAUUCCCCUAGUAACGGCGAGUGAAGCGGGAAGAGCUCAAAUUUGAAAUCUUAAAGGGUUUCCCUUUACGAAUUGUAGUUUAAAGAAGUGUUUUCUGUUGAGGUUUUGGUAAAAGUUCUUUGGAAUAGGACAUCAUAGAGGGUGAGAAUCCCGUAUUUGACCUUUACUUUCAACUUUGUGAUACACUUUCAAAGAGUCGGAUUGUUUGGGAAUGCAGUCCAAAAUGGGUGGUAAAUUUCAUCUAAAGCUAAAUAUUGGCGAGAGACCGAUAGCGAACAAGUACCGUGAGGGAAAGAUGAAAAGAACUUUGAAAAGAGAGUUAAACAGUACGUGAAAUUGUCAAAAGGGAAGCGUUUGACACCAGUGUUGUUUUUCUGAAAAUCAAUUAAAGAACUGUUUAUGCUAAGUUGUUUAGACUUUAUCAGCUAACUGUUUAGUUUUGAGCUUUUCUUUAAUGCACUUUUCAGUUAACAAGUCAACAUCAAUUUCUUUUGCUGUAAAAAAGCUUGAGGAAGGUGGCUUGAGAUUCGUCUUAAGUGUUUAUAGCCUCUUGCCUAUGCAGUCGGAGAGAUUGAGGUCUGCAGCGUAGAUCCCUUCGGGGCUAAAUGCAUUUGUGCUAAGUUAUAGCAUUUUAUAGACAACUUGUUGACUAUGAUUUGUCUUGUAGCUUACUCGCCUAUGUUAUUUUACCUACGCUUAGGAUGUUGAUCUGUAGUGCGUGCGC